UCCCGCCUGCCCAGUGACUCUUUAAACGGCCGCGGUAUCCUAACCGUGCAAAGGUAGCAUAAUCACUUGUCCCCUAAAUAGGGACUAGAAUGAACGGCUAAAUGAGGACAAAACUGUCUCUUACGGACCAACCAAUGAAAUUGAUCUUCCAGUACAAAAGCUGGAAUAAACCCAUAAGACGAGAAGACCCUGUGGAGCUUUAGAACCAAAACCACCAAACAUGUUUCUUGGUUUUUUAGUUGGGGCGACUUUGGAGAAAAAAUAAUCCUCCAAACUAUAAACCCAUUUAUUAAGAAUAACACAUCAAAAAUAAUUAAAUAGACCCAGCAACAUUAUGUUGUCUGACCAAUGAACCAAGUUACCCCAGGGAUAACAGCGCCAUCCUCUUCUAGAGUCCCUAUCGACAAGGGGGUUUACGACCUCGAUGUUGGAUCAGGACACCCCUAUAGUGCAGCCGCUUUAAAAGGUUCGUUUGUUCAACGAUUAAAGUCCUACGUGAU
rnacentral:rRNA from 1 species